GAGUAGGCGCGAUGCAGCGGCCGCGUCACAACCGUCCAUCUAAACGAAGCGGUAGACACGUGGGUCCGACAACGCGGGGCGGUGGGGGCUUUAUCUUCGAAUUUUUAGGGAGACGAGCCGUCCACACUCCACUUCUCAUUACCCAUUCCCCUCCCUCACUCUCUCCGCCAAAUCCCUAGCAUCGGAGUCCACCAUUGACGGGAGAGCUAGUACGGGGGUGGUGCGGGAGGAAGCGGGAUUGGGGGGCGGGCAACAAGUGGAUCGGCGGGGGAGACCCCGCGCCGCGCACUCGACCGGAGGAAGGGUGCUCUACACACGGAGGCUGUGGGCCGACGAAGAUCCAAGUCGUCUCUGCCGCAUCCACGGAAACCACAGGUUAGCUUUUCUCCGGCGACCUGAUGCUAGCCAUUCCCCCUCCCUCCUACAUGUUUCUCUGGCAUACGAGCACGACGGGGAGGUUGAUUCCGUUUGGGAGCAAAUUGGAACAAAGUCGAGGGAAAAUCGAGAGGGGGGAGGCGAAAUCAUAGUCAUAGUUGGUACCAACGGGUUCAUGGAGGGGAGUGGGAGGGGGGAGCAGGACCUAUGGUUCGAUUCGAGUUUUCUGUAGGCAACUGAAUUUUCGUCUUUGUAUGUUUUGUAGGCAAAUCAGUUAGGUAACCGAAAUAUAAACGCAGGCAAUUUAAUUGUCCCCAUGGAUUCUGUAGGCAAAAAUGUCCCCCAUGGAUUUCGUAGGCAUCCUACAGAGAGAUAAGUAGGCAUUUCCCUUGUAGGCAUCCCACACACAGAGAUUGUAGGCUUUGUACUUGUGUUCCAAAUUUUGCCUGCAGAUAUGUGCCACAGAAGUUCAAUGUCGUUUUCCUUCACCAUGAACUUGAAAUGUAUACAGCAUUCGCUGCUAUCACCAAAAGGUAGAAGGGCCAGCUGUAGACCCGCCUGGAGAGAACUCAGGGUCCAUCCACAUCCAUCUCGACUCCAAGCAUCUAGAGAAACACGAAAGCCAGUUGAAAGGUACCUUUCAUUCAGAUCCGACCCACCUCUUGACACUUCUGCUGCUAUAUUAUGUUAUGUUUACGCACCUUAUUCUCGGGAGGCUGCAAUGGGCCAAGAAAAGCUCUGCUCCAAAACAGUCUUAAUUAGCUCUAGAGCAUGUGUCAAAUAUGGAUCCUGUCCUGCAUUUUGUAUGUGCGCGCUUGUCCUGUCUGUUUGAAAUCUUGCGUGUAAAGGGGAUCUUGCUUGCUUGCUAUGGCUGGAAAGCUCUAGGUUUCACAAGCAAGAGGAAUCAUGUGCCUCGAGAGAGAUUAGUAGGCAAAAUGCAUUCCAUGUGUUUUUUGUAGGCAUCCCACGGAGAUAUUAGUAGGCAAAACGUAUUCCAUGGAUUUUUUAGGCAUCAUUAGUAGGCAAAAUGUAUUCCAUGGAUUUUUUUUUGUAGGCAAGAUACACCCAUAGAUAUUUUGUAGGAAAAUCACUUGUUUGUGUGUUCCAUCAACAGGCAACAAUUUAUUAAAACACAAGAACAAUUUUUUUUCAGGGCAAUACUAUAAGUCCCUACCACAAGACCUACUAUAAGAUAUGUGAGAAAUGUAGAUAGCUUUUGAUAUGACAUGACAUGGCAAAUCAGAUAAGAGUAAAGAGUAAAGUGCUACUAAUCUGAAGUAGAUGCGGAGAUUUUGGUGCGGGAAAUAGUAAGGACCGGGAUCUUCAGAAAUGUGCAUCGGAAUCCGACCCAUGAUGCUUAUUUCUGCCAGUUGGGGGCCAUUAUAGAUUCAUUUCCCUGAUGGUUUAGCAGCUGCAGUAGCUGCGGCACGAAGCCAAGCAUGUCCUUUUUAGUAGCUGCAGCAGCUGUGGCAUGAUUUAGCUGCAGUCCCUGUAGGCAAUUUGAGGGCAACCUCUUUUUUCAUACCCUUUUUUUGUGGCAAGCUGUUUUGAGGAGCAAGCCUUAUCAGUGACCAUUCUUUUUUUUUUCUUUUUACCAGGCAAGACUUUUAUACUGGUUUUAAGAUGGAGGACUUCGCAGAUCAAAAUGAUAGCGAGGUACAGACCACAUUAUCAUAUCCUUUACUUGCGGCAUUUUUACAUUUUUACAUGUAUUAGGUAGAGAAUCAGUCAGCAGCACCAACAUGUAGUUAAGUUAUUCAGUUCUCGCCCACCCGGACGACCUAGGUCACCUAACACGGACGACCAAGUUGCCCAAAGCCCCGUCGAACACCGUCAUACCAAGUCGCCUCAACACAAAUGGGAGCUGCGACACUUCUCGCCCACCCAGGUGACCUAGGUCGCCUAACACGGACGACCAAGUCGCCCAAAGCCCCGCCGACAACCGUCAUACCAAGUCGCCUCAACACGAAUAGGGGCUGCGGCACUUCUCGCCCACCCCGACGACCUAGGCCGCCUAACACCGAUGACCAAGUCGCCCAAAGUCAUGUCAACAACCGUCAUACCAAGUCGUCUCAACACGAAUGGGGGCUACGGCACUUCUCGCCCACCGCGACGACCUAGAUCACCUAACACGGACGACCAAGUUACCCAAAGCCCUGUCGACCACCGUCAUACCAAGUCGCCUCAACACAAAUGGGGGCUGUGACACUUCUCGCCCACCCCGACGACCUAGGUCGCCUAACACCGACGACCAAGUCGCCCAAAGCCUGUCAACCACCAUCACACCAAGUGGCCUCAACACGAAUGGGGGCUGCGACACUUUUCGCCCACCCCAACGACCUAGGUCGCCUAACACGGACGACAAAGCCGCCCAAAGCCCCGCCGACCACCGUCGUACCAAGUCGCGUCAACAUGAAUGGGGGGUGCGACACUUCUUGCCCACCCCAACGACCUAGGUCUCCUAACACGGAUGACCAAGUCACCCAAAGCCCCGUCGACCACCGUCUUACCAAGUUGUCUCAACACGAAUGGGGGUUGCGGCACUUCUCGCCCACCCAGUGACCUAGGUCGCCUAACACGGACGACCAAGAUGUCGAAAGCCCUGUUGACCAACAUCACACAAAGUCGCCUCAAUACGAAUGGGGGCUGCGACACUUCUCGCCCACUCCGGUGACCUAGGUUGCCUAGCACGGACGACCAAGUUGCCCAAAGCCCCGUCGACAACUGUCAUACCAAGUCGCCUCAACACGAAUGGGGGGUGCGACACUUCUCGCCCACCCCGAUGACCUAGGUCGCCUAGCACGGACGACCAAGUCGCCCAAAGCCCCGCUGACAACCAUCAUACAAAGUCGCCUCAACACGAAUGGGGGGUGCGACACUUCUCACCCACCCCGGUGACCUAGGUCGCCUAACAUGGACGACCAAGUCGCCCAAAACUCCGUCGACAACCGUCAUACCAAGUCGCCUCAACACGAAUGGGGGGUGCGGCACUUCUCGCCCACCCCGGUGACCUAGGUCGCCUAGCACGGACGACCAAGUCGCCCAAAGCCCCGCCGACAACCGUCAUACCAAGUCAUCUCAACACGAAUGGGGGUGCGACACUUCUCGCCCACCCCGGUGACCUAGGUCGCCUAACACGGACGACCAAGUCGCCCAAAGCCGUGUCGACAACCGUCAUACCAAGUCGCCUCAACACAAAUGGGGGGUGCGGCACUUCUCGUCCACCCCGGUGACCUAGGUCGCCUAACACGGACGACCAAGUCGCCCAAAGCCGUGUUGACAACCGUCAUACCAAGUCGCCUCAACACAAAUGGGGGGUGCGGCACUUCUCGUCCACCCCGGUGACCUAGGUCGCCUAGCACCGACCGUUUGUCGCCUACACGCGACCCCCACGCACCCAAACACACGGUUUCUAUUGGUAGAAGUUGCCUAACCCCGGCAGACUAACUCGCCCGCAUACGUAAAAAACAACAAUAACCGAUCGUCUAUUGGCAACAACAAGCUUUAGCAACAAUUCCUCUGACUCGCCCACACCUUCAAUAGAAAUUGGCACUUUCUUUGGUUGGGCUUGUGUGCAGGAUGCAGGGCCACCAUCAUAAUCAGUAAACUCGUCAGGGAGCUCAUUGAGAUAAAUGCCACGCAUCUGCAUUUCUUUAGAAGUCAGGAAUGAAAAAAUUGUUAGCAUUCAGAUUUUUUGUCGCAUCAUGCAAGCAAAAAUGUGUAUAGUACCAGCUUUUCUCCAGGCUAUUUUUUCGAUGGAUAAGUCUGUGUUUUUGUAAGAAACUAGAGUUUACUACUAGUUUCUUGCCGUAAGCAAUUAAAAAAUUUCCCAGCAUAUACACAAUUGCUUCUUUUUUCAUUUCAUUUUUCUUUUUUGCAGAACAAGGUACAAAACAAUAGUCAAGCAAAAUUCAAGGGCCAGGAGUCAGCAGCUUCUUAUGUUCAUAGCACCAAGUUCAGCAACAUUCAGUACAAAGGCUAGUUUUUGCAGUUUUUGUAGUUUGUAGGCAACAUUCAGCAACACCAGGUUCAACAACAACUCAGUACAGAGGCUAGAUUUUGCAGUUUUUGCUCUGAAAUAGACAGGGAAAUCUACUAGUUCCAUUCAGCAAUAGACAGGGAAAUCUACUAUUUCUUAAGACAGUACCUAGACAAACUGAAUUGCUCUUGAUAGACAUGUUUACCUUUUGCUGUUUCACUUUGAAGAGUUUUACCCAGUUGUGGGAGUUGAAUUGCUAUCAAUCUCUGGAAAUUGUGUCUGAUCAGGAGGAAGAAGUUGCAGGCACAACUGCAUUCAAGAUUUAUCACUAUGAUUUUUUGCCUUAUUUUUUGAUCUCUUUUCAAUCUGAUUUCGCUGCGGCAGGGGAGCUCCUAGAAGUGGGGGACGCUAGGUUUUCUGGCGAUGGG
rnacentral:lncRNA from 1 species